rnacentral:rRNA from 1 species
GACGAACGCUGGCGGCGUGCUUAACACAUGCAAGUCGUACGGUAAGGCCCUUUCGGGGGUCCACGAGUGGCGAACGGGUGAGUAACACGUGAGUAACCUGCCCACAACUUUGGGAUAACGCUAGGAAACUGGUGCUAAUACUGGAUAUGUGCUCCUGCUGCAUGGUGGGGGUUGGAAAGCUCCGGCGGUUGUGGAUGGACUCGCGGCCUAUCCGCUUGUUGGUGGGGUAGUGGCCUACCAAGGCGGCGACGGGUAGCCGGCCUGAGAGGGUGACCGGCCACAUUGGGACUGAGAUACGGCCCAGACUCCUACGGGAGGCAGCAGUGGGGAAUAUUGCACAAUGGGCGCAAGCCUGAUGCAGCAACGCCGCGUGCGGGAUGACGGCCUUCGGGUUGUAAACCGCUUUCAGCAGGGACGAAGCUUUUUGUGACGGUACCUGCAGAAGAAGCACCGGCUAACUACGUG